CCUACGGGUGGCAGCAGUGGGGAAUAUUGCACAAUGGGGGAAACCCUGAUGCAGCAACGCCGCGUGAGUGAAGAAGUAUUUCGGUAUGUAAAGCUCUAUCAGCAGGGAAGAGAAUGACGGUACCUGACUAAGAAGCCCCGGCUAACUACGUGCCAGCAGCCGCGGUAAUACGUAGGGGGCGAGCGAUAUCCGGAUUUACUGGGGGUAAAGGGAGCGUAGACGGUUCUGCAGGUCUGAAGUGAAAGCCCGGGGCUUAACCGCGGAACGGCUUUGGAAACUGUGGAACUGGAGUGCUCGAGAGGCAAGCGGAAUUCGUGGUGUAGCGAUGAAAUGCGUAGAUAUUAGGAGUAACACCAGUGGCGAAGGCGGCUUGCUGGACAGUAACUGACGUUGAGGCUCGAAAGCGUGGGGAGCGAACAGGAUUAGAUACCCUUGUAGUC
rnacentral:rRNA from 1 species